UUCGCGAUUCAGGGUGAUUCAACUCGGACGGUUCACUCAAUCUUUUUGAAGCGGUUUCUCAGUCGGCAAACGUGAUAGGGAACUUCAAGAAGUAUAAAAACGCAUAUUGAACUUAUAUACAAUCUGCUUGAAAGCAAACCUGGAAGUUCGUCUUUUUGUUUUUCCAGCGAUGAAGAUUCAUUAUGACCAACACGCGCACGUGCGUCCCGAGAACCCCUCUACUGCAGGUUUUGGCAAGAAAUAAUCUUAAAUGCUUCAACCCAAACAGAAGAACAGAAUGGCCUGCAGUGACAACGCAAUGAAGAGGUAAACACUUCCUGGGGUACCAUCAGUGAGAGACGUGCAUUUAGUGUAGUAUCCGGUAAUACUAGACAGGACAGAUGAGGUCAACAUGUGUUGGUUCAUCAGCAGCAUAACAGCACAAUGUGCCAGAACACUGACACCACACGGAUAAAGGGAGAGAGAGAGAGACAGACCUAAAUUAUCAGCCUUUCACGAAAAGAUACUGAACAGACUCUGUCGGUGAGGAGAG